ensembl:lncRNA
AAGAAGAUUUACAAAAAAAAAAAAAAGUUAUUGAUAGAAAUGUGGAACUUAGCAAGCAAAUUAAAUUUAUAAUGAAACUUAUGCAAAAGGUUGGACUAUCAACCAUUUUAACUGGCACGGUUCCACCAGGAAGGAAUAUUGAAAACGUUAUGAAACUGCAAGAGACAUUAAAAGAAAAAUUAAAUUUAUAUAAUAGUAGUAGUAGACGUUCAGCCUUAAGGACACUAAAAAAAAUAACCAACAAUAAAGAUAGUAAUUCACAAAAUCGUCUCAAAAAAAGUGGUAUUGAUAAAGAGCACGAAAAUAAAAUCGAAAAAAAUAAUAACACCUUAGUAUGCGAAGAUUUUGUGGAUGAUGAAUAUGAAGGCGGUAAUAAUAAUAAUGACAAUGACAAUGAGGAAGAAUACAAUGAAAGCAUAUCUCACGUAUUUAUAAAUGAAAUGUUCUAUUCUUUCAUACUUAAAUUACAACAACAUAAUAACACAUGUGAUAAUUCUUUAAAUAACGUUGAAGAACAGUUAAAAAAUGAAGAAAAACCUUACGAUUUGUCUAAAAAAGCGAUAGAAGAUAUAUUAGGAAGUACAAUAGCAAAUAAACUUGAUGAUAAAGAAGUUAACACAGCAAAAAGUAUAAAAGAUGGUAAGAAUAAAGAAACUAUCGAUUCAAUUUUAAAUAUGCUUACCCCAUGGGAACAAAAAAUAUUAGCUCUAUUAUAUGAACAACAAAAAAUGAAAAAGAGUGUUCGUACAAUUAAGGAAAAAUUUUCACAACGCAUUCAACAUAUUAACGUGUUUAUUAAAAAAAUACUUAUCGAUAAGAUUGAAGUUGAAAGACACUUUAAUCGCAUUAUAAAAGCAACAGAAUGUUACAAAAACGAUAUGUUGAAAACUUCUGAUGUCGAUUCUAAUUUUAAGUUUGCUGGUUUAAUGAAAAAAUUAGAAGAACUUUCUAUAUCAUUAGCUGAAAAAACAAGAGACUUUAAUGUGUUAGCAGAAUUCCAUUUAAAUUUAAAAAAACAAAUGGAAAAAAAAGAUUUUUUAAUAAAAGAAUUACAAGAAGAAAACAAAUUGUUUUAUCUUGUUCCAAAAUAUAAUGAACUCUUAAAUGAAAUCGAUAAAAAUAAUGAAAAUGAUAAAAAUGGUGAAAAUGAUAAAAAUGGUGAAAAUGAUAAAAAUGGUGAAAAUGAUAAAAAUGGUGAAAAUGAUAAAAAUGGUAAAAAUGAUCAAAUUGGUAAAAAUGAUAAUAAAAGAACAGCUGUAAAAGAAUUGAAAAAAGAGUUCCUUUUAAUGUAUGGACGUUUAAUGAUUACUAAAAAAAAACUACAGGAAAAAGAAAUUAUAGAAAACGAUAUGAGGAAUUUAAAUAAAAAAAUAUAUACUGAACUCGUUGAAUCAAUAUCAGUUAUAAAAAACUUAGAAUCUCAAAAUAAAUUCUUAGAAUUUAAAUUAAAUAUAGCAAAUAAAAAAAAAGUGGAGAAAAUUAAAAAACUAUUAAAUAAAACAGAAAUGUUAAAUAAAAUCAUAAGCGAAAUGGAAAAAGUGUGUGCAGAAGCAAAUAUAGAUACCGUCGAAUUAAAAAAAAAUAUAUUAGAAAAUUAUAAAAAUUCUAAUUUAUUAACAAAUAACAUAGACACCGAAGAUGAUAAGUCUGAACGGGAAAUGCAAGAAAUUACAGGAGAAUUGCCAAAACCAAAAAAAAAAAAGAAAAAAAAAAAAAUCGAAAAAAAAAAAAAAAAAAAAAAUAAUAAAAAAAAAUAAGAAGCGCGCAAUAUUUUCCGAUAAAAAUAAUUCUGAAGAUAAAGAAAUGAGCAUAGGGGCAGAAUAUGAAAAAACUACACUUUCACCAAAUGAAUCUGAUAACAAUUCAAUGGAUCCCGAAACAAAUGAAGUGCGUGCUUUACUAAGCAAAGAAAUUGAAAUGAAAAAAGAGGGUAGCACAGUUUAAUUUUAGAGUUUUACGAAUACAUAUAUAUAUAUAUAUAUAUACAUUUAAAAAAUGUUGUAAGUUAAAAAAUGAAAAGUGAAAAACAAUAUUUGCAACAUUUUAUUCAUCAAAACAAUGACAGAAAAAAAAUAUUAAACGGUGAAUGUAAUUAUAAUGACAAUAAAAAAGAUAGUUAUAAUCA